CAAGUACUGAGAUGUGAGGAUCAUUUGUCACUGCUGCUGAGGCUGACCCAUCGGCUUAAUCCUUGGAGCCUUCCCUUUCCUUCAGGGAGCAGUGGGAGGAGCUCAGAGCCGGCACCAGGCUUUGACCUAUCCUUAGGAAUCUAGCUGGAGCGCUGGCUUGGAGGAGCACUAACACUGCACAGGAAGUGGCAUUUCCAGGAUUCUCUAAAGAAACAUACACAAGGCAGUUCGUUUACUCGUUCAACAAAUAUGUAUUGAGCACUUACUACGGAUUAGGAGCGAUGUAGCUAUGGAGGAAACAGCAAUGAACAAGCCCAAACCUCCCUCCUCGUGGGACUCAUAUUCAGAUGGUUGGAAGAGACUUGGGCUAAGUCUCUUCCGGGAGAAGCAAGCCUUUCAAAGACGUGCUCCAGUCUGGGUAAUGCGGGGCUUUGCUCUGCCAAAGAAGGCAUGCAGGUGUGGAGAGGAGCUGACCAGCUACUACCAGAGAGGAGACGCUGGAGGCACCCCAGAGAAGGGAAAACUGCUUAAACCUGAAAUGCAAGACUUUAGACCAUCCUGUAGGCACCUGGUAUCCAUCGUGUGGCUGCGGAAUACCUGACAGCUGCCCCCAGUGCGAAUCAGCAGACCAUUAACCUUUGCCACCUGACUGCAAGCUCUGAAGGUUAACUCCCCCUGUAUCCCCUUAUAAGAAGACCUCAGUCCCUGAGCUGGUGCCUCUCUGAGCUACUCAGCUCUGGGAGUGCUGUCUGGCCACACUAAUAAAGGUUUAUUUCAUUUUCCAACUUGUCCGGUGUGCUCCUUCCCGGGUGUUUCUUGCAGCUGUUGAGCUCCUUGGAGCGGUUGGUAAGGCUCUUGGUCCUACAAAAUGGGAGGAAGGGGCCUGGUUAUGUAGACGGUGGCUGGUGUAAGCGGGUUGGGGAAUGGCAUCAGCUGCACAGGCAGCCACUCAGGGGUCAUUAUUUGUAAUCUUAUACUUGUUAUCUUAUACUUUGAAGUUGUGGGUGGUGGGUACUGAGUCCCAGUGACAAAAAAGCAACUAAGACACCUUGUCAAAACUGGAUGACCUAAAUCUAGUAGCCCCAAAACAGCUCAAAGACUGAGAAACAAGAGAGCACAAGGUCUGAUGUUAGGAAACUUACCAGGGAUCUAAAUCUGAAGUCCUAUCAUGUUCCACAGUUUAUUUUUCUG
rnacentral:lncRNA from 1 species